rnacentral:rRNA from 1 species
UAGUUGUAGGGUAACGGCCUACCAAGGCGACGAUGGCUAGGGGUUCUGAGAGGAAGAUCCCCCACACUGGUACUGAGAUACGGACCAGACUCCUACGGGAGGCGGCAGUAAGGAAUAUUGGGCAAUGGUCGGAAGACUGACCCAGCCAUGCCGCGUGCAGGAAGAAGGCGCUUAGCGUUGUAAACUGCUUUUGUCGGAGAAGAAAAUACCCCUGCGGGGGUGCCUGACGGUAUCCGACGAAUAAGCAUCGGCUAACUACGUGCCAGCAGCCGCGGUAAUACGUAGGAUGCAAGCGUUGUCCGGAUUUAUUGGGUUUAAAGGGUGCGUAGGUGGGGAAUUAAGUCGUGGGUGAAAGCUGGUAGCUCAACUAUCAAAAUGCCUGCGAUACUGGUUUUCUUGAAUACGGUGGAGGUAACUGGAAUGGGUGGUGUAGCGGUGAAAUGCAUAGAUACCAUCCGGAACACCAAUUGCGUAGGCAGGUUACUACGCCGUGAUUGACACUGAGGCACGAAAGCGUGGGGAUCAAACAGGAUUAGAUACCCUGGUAGUCCACGCCGUAAACGAUGAUGACUCGUUGUUAGCGAUAUACCGUUAGCGACUUAGGGAAACCGUUAAGUCAU